GGCGAAAUUGGUAGACGCUACGGACUUAAAAUCCGUCGACUUUAGAAAUCGUGAGGGUUCGAGUCCCUCUAUCCCCA
rnacentral:tRNA from 1 species